rnacentral:rRNA from 1 species
UGCCAGCAGCCGCGGUAAUACGGAGGGUGCGAGCGUUAAUCGGAAUUACUGGGCGUAAAGCGCAUGCAGGUGGUUUGUUAAGUCAGAUGUGAAAGCCCCAGGCUCAACCUGGGAAGGUCAUUUGAAACUGGCAAACUAGAGUACUGUAGAGGGGGGUAGAAUUUCAGGUGUAGCGGUGAAAUGCGUAGAGAUCUGAAGGAAUACCAGUGGCGAAGGCGGCCCCCUGGACAGAUACUGACACUCAGAUGCGAAAGCGUGGGGAGCAAACAGGAUUAGAUA